rnacentral:rRNA from 1 species
CCUACGGGUCGCAGCAGUGAGGAAUAUUGGUCAAUGGACGAGAGUCUGAACCAGCCAAGUAGCGUGAAGGAUGACUGCCCUAUGGGUUGUAAACUUCUUUUAUAAAGGAAUAAAACGAGGCACGUGUGCCUUUUUGCAUGUACUUUAUGAAUAAGGAUCGGCUAACUCCGUUCCAGCAGCUUCGGUAAUACGGAGGAUCCGAGCGUUAUCCGGAUUUAUUGGGUUUAAAGGGACCGUAGAUGGGUUGUUAAGUCAGUUGUGAAUGUUUGCGGCUCAACCGUAAGAUUGCAAUUGAUACUGGCAGUCUUGAGUACAGUUGAGGUAAGCGGAAUUCGUGGUGUAGCGGUGAAAUGCUUAGAUAUCACGAAGAACCCCGAUUGCGAAGGCAGCUUACUAAACUGUGACUGACAUUGAUGCUCGAAAGUGUGGGUAGCAAACAGGAUUAGAUACCCUUGUAGUC